GACGAACGCUGGCGGCGUGCUUAACACAUGCAAGUCGAACGGAAAGGCCCUGCUUUUGUGGGGUUCUCGAGUGGCGAACGGGUGAGUAACACGUGAGUAACCUGCCCUUGACUUUGGGAUAACUUCAGGAAACUGGGGCUAAUACCGGAUAGGAGCUCCUGCUGCAUGGUGGGGGUUGGAAAGUUUCGGCGGUUGGGGAUGGACUCGCGGCUUAUCAGCUUGUUGGUGGGGUAGUGGCUUACCAAGGCUUUGACGGGUAGCCUGCCUGAGAGGGUGACCGGCCACAUUGGGACUGAGGUACGGACCAGACGGGUACGGGGGGCAGCGGGGGAGAAUAUUGCACAAUGGGCGGACGCGUGAUGCAGCAGCGCCGGGUGCGGGAAGACGGCCUUCGGGGUGUAAACCGCUUUCGCCUGUGACGAAGCGUGAGUGACGGUAAUGGGUAAAGAAGCACCGGCUAACUACGUG
rnacentral:rRNA from 1 species